CAGCCGCCGCCGCGGUAAUACGGAGGGUGCAAGCGUUGUUCGGAAUUACUGGGCGUAAAGCGCGCGUAGGCGGCUUUUUAAGUCAGAUGUGAAAGUUCACGGCUCAACCGUGGAAGUGCAUUUGAAACUGGAAAGCUUGAGUAUCAGAAGGGAUGGUGGAAUUCCCGGUGUAGAGGUGAAAUUCGUAGAUAUCGGAGGAAUACCGGUGGCGAAGGCGACCAUCUGGCUGAAUACUGACGCUGAGGUGCGAAAGCGCGGGGAGCAAACAGGAUUAGAUA
rnacentral:rRNA from 1 species